rnacentral:rRNA from 1 species
UAAUUUACCUUUGGGUGGGGAAUAACAGUCGGAAACGACUGCUAAUACCGCAUAAUGCAGCGGCUCGACAUCGAGACAGUUGUUAAAGCGGGGGAUCGCAAGACCUCGCGCCUGAAGAGAAGCCUGCGGCAGAUUAGCUAGUUGGUAAGGUAAUGGCUUACCAAGGCGACGAUCUGUAACCGGCCUGAGAGGGCGGUCGGUCACACUGACACUGACAUACGGGUCAG